UGGGGAAUAUUGGACAAUGGGCGCAAGCCUGAUCCAGCAACGCCGCGUGGAGGAAGAAGGCCUUCGGGUCGUAAACUCCUGUCAGGUGGGACGAAAAGGCGGGGGUCAAUAGCCCCUGCCGCUGACGGUACCACCAGAGGAAGCCCCGGCUAACUCCGUGCCAGCAGCCGCGGUAAUACGGAGGGGGCAAGCGUUAUUCGGAAUUAUUGGGCGUAAAGGGCGCGCAGGCGGCCUGGCAAGUCGAAGGCGAAAUCCCUCGGCUCAACCGAGGAAUUGCCUUCGAUACUGCCAGGCUCGAGGCCGGGAGGGGGUAGCGGAAUUCCCAGUGUAGCGGUGAAAUGCGUAGAUAUUGGGAGGAACACCAGUGGCGAAGGCGGCUACCUGGACCGGUUCUGACGCUGAGGCGCGAAAGCGUGGGGAGCAAACAGG
rnacentral:rRNA from 1 species